rnacentral:rRNA from 1 species
CCUACGGGAGGCAGCAGUGGGGAAUAUUGCACAAUGGGCGCAAGCCUGAUCCAGCAAUGCCGCGUGUGUGAAGAAGGCCUGCGGGUUGUAAAGCACUUUCAGUAGGGAAGAAAAGCUUACGGUUAAUACCCCGGAGUCUUGACGUUACCUACAGAAGAAGCACCGG